UUCGUUAACAUUUUGUGAUUUCUAUUUCCAAACCUAGAGCUCAAAUCAUUGGUAGUUACUUGACCUCUGAAAAUAUGUUUAAAUUAAUGUAGUGGAUAUUGGAUUGGUUCUGAGAAAAUUAUGAGUCAAAUAUAAAUUUACAUUUUAAAAACAAGUACAUUUUUAAAAAUGUUCCCCAAAAAUGCUUGAAUUACUAUCAUUGUCUCAGUUCAACUAUUUCAACAAAUCGAGUAUAUGUCAUCAGGAGUGUUUCAUUUUCUUUACAAAACUAGUAGUGUUACUUAAACAUGUCUUUUGAUCCCUGCUGAUUAGCAGAGGUUGGUACAAUUUUCAGACCUUGAGGAUUGCAGCAUUGAAGGUAUAAUUUCAUGACCACAUGCAGUAUUCCACCAAUGCAUCAGAUUCCUCAAAUUGGCCACUGACAAUACCUCUCCCUUAAUUUAAGUGAACACGUCUUGGUCU
rnacentral:lncRNA from 1 species